AUAGACAUUAUUCUUGUAUGAUCAAACAAAAAUUUUCUUCUUGAAACAACACAAAAAUUUUCUUGUUCCAAAGAUGAGCAAAUUAGAGCUGGUAUUUGUGCCUACUCCAGCCGUUAGUCACCUAAUUUCGGUAUGCAAGUUUGCAGAGAAGUUGGUUAAUAGAGAUGAGAGGCUAUGUGCAACAUUUCUAAUUAUAAGGCCACCCCCACCAUUCGAUGCCAGCGUAGAUGCCUACAUCAAGCAAAAGUCCUCUGAUUCCCAGGGCAGUCGAAUUAGAUAUAUCACACUUGCCAAAGCCAAACCGCCACCUUCAGAUGAAAUAGGCAAGUCUAUUGAUAGGUACAUCUCUCUUUAUCUAGCAAAUUGUCGACCCCUCGUUAAGGAAGCAAUUAUCAGCAACAAGAGGCCUGAUUCGAAAAUUAUUGGACUAGUCUUUGAUAUGCUUUGCAGUUCAAUGAUUGAUGUAGCAAAUGAACUUGGCUUUCCUUCUUAUCUUUUCUUGGUUCAAAGUGCUGGUUUUCUUGGUUUCACGUUUUACAUGUCUAUUUGGCGUGACCAAGUCGGGAGAGAAUUUAACCAAUCUGAUGCUGAUGUAAAGAUACCAAUCUUUUCUCAUCCAGUACCCUCAAAAGUCUUGCCUUCAUUUGCAUUCAUCAAGGAAGGUUACGACACAUUCUGCAACCAUGCUGCCAGGUACAAAGAAACCAAAGGAAUUCUCAUCAACACAGUUGCAGAAUUCGAAAGUCACGCUGUCAAUAGUUUAGCAUCUGAUCCUGAACUACCUCCAGUGUACACAGUAGGACUUCUUCUUGACGCUGAGAACCAAAAACCUUCAACACAAGCAGCAGGAUCUCGUCCUGACCUUGAGAACCAAAAAGGUAAGGGCAAUUCUACGUCUGAAGAUGAAGAGAUCAUUAAAUGGCUAGACCAGCAGCCAACUGCCUCUGUUCUUUUUCUGUGCUUUGGAACCCUUGGUGUUUUUCAGCCACCACAGCUAGUCGAGAUGGCAAUUGCACUUGAACGAAGUGGUGUUAGGUUUGUGUGGUCAAUGCGUCUCCCUGCAAAUGCUGAAACUACAAAAUUAAAGGAGAUAUUGCCAGAAGGGUUCUUGUACCUAAUCGAAGUUUAAUUUACCAAUUACCGAAUUAAUGUUUAUAAGUAUGAUAUAUGGUAUUUACGUUCAAAUAUCGAUUAUCGAAUUAUCGAGUCUGAACUUUCAAAAUAUCAAACCGAAUACCAAACGCCCGCCCCUAAUUUCAACAAUAUCGAACCGAAUACCAAACGGUCACCCCUAAUUUGAAUAAUAUCCAAAUCUGUAGCCCUUAAACAUAUUAUUUUUAUUUCUUUUCUCUUUGCCGCUUAUCUCCAUCUCUUUCCUUCUUUGAUUCCGUGUAAUCGGUAAAAAAAAGUUGACCGUUUUCACUCUUAUUCAAUUCUAAAAUACAACCUUUGCUUCAAACUACGGCAAUCAAAUUCAAUUCAAUUACAAUUAAAUUUUUCUUUUCUUAUUCUUAUCACUAAUUAAUUAAAUAAAAUAGUAUAAUGACUCCUUAAUUAAUUAAUUUAAAUAGAAUUGAGGAGAUUUUUCUUUGUCAAGCCUGACCCAGUAGUCAAGAGACAAAAAACUGAGAUAUAUGACUUUGAUGUGACAAUGCAUUAUUAUUUUUUUUAUGUAAAACGUAAUAAAUUAUUAUGUUUUACAAUAUUUUUUGCAAAACGUAAUAAUUUAUUACGGUUUAUAAAAUAUUUUGUAAAACGUAAUAAUUUAUUACAUUUUAUAAAAAAUCAGCUCCGUUAGUUGACCGUUAGAAAAAAGUAAAAAACGUAAUAAUUUAUUACGUUUAGCCUAUUUUGAUUACUUAUUAAAAUUUUGGUCACUUCUUUGAUAACUUGACUUAUUUUGGUUCCGAGUUCUGCAAAUUAUAAGAUUUGAUGAAUUUUUUUUUAAUUUGAUUUUUGGUAGAUAUUUAAGAGAUUCUGUAUCAUCAUUUACUGUCCUAAAAUAAAUGCAAAUAUGUUACUUCCUUAUUUAAUAUGUAUCAAAAAGAAAAAGAAAAAUUCGAAAGAAAUGUAUUUUAAAAAAUAAAAGAUUUUAUGUAUUUAUACAUCUUUAAGUUUAUGUUUUAAUGUAAACUUUCCUUCAUUUUACCACAGUUAUUGUUGGGCUCCUCUAAAGACAACGCCAAAAUCAAAUUAUUACAUGUUGACAUUUUUUGAACGUGCAAAAUAACUAAGCCACCCGAGUCCCUUUGAGGCAUAUAUUUUUACCUUGUGCAUUUGAGGCAUAUAUUCAUUUUACCACAGUAAUUCUUGUUGAAGUGGUGUUGAGCUCGUUUAAAGAUAACGCCAAACCUGUUCUGCAACUAAAAUCACUCCAAAUUUUAGAAAAGGCAGAAGCACUACUAUAAAAACGUGGACACACCCAACAUAGACAUUAUUCUUGUAUGAUCAAACAAAAAUUUUCUUCUUGAAACAACACAAAAAUUUUCUUGUUCCAAAGAUGAGCAAAUUAGAGCUGGUAUUUGUGCCUACUCCAGCCGUUAGUCACCUAAUUUCGGUAUGCAAGUUUGCAGAGAAGUUGGUUAAUAGAGAUGAGAGGCUAUGUGCAACAUUUCUAAUUAUAAGGCCACCCCCACCAUUCGAUGCCAGCGUAGAUGCCUACAUCAAGCAAAAGUCCUCUGAUUCCCAGGGCAGUCGAAUUAGAUAUAUCACACUUGCCAAAGCCAAACCGCCACCUUCAGAUGAAAUAGGCAAGUCUAUUGAUAGGUACAUCUCUCUUUAUCUAGCAAAUUGUCGACCCCUCGUUAAGGAAGCAAUUAUCAGCAACAAGAGGCCUGAUUCGAAAAUUAUUGGACUAGUCUUUGAUAUGCUUUGCAGUUCAAUGAUUGAUGUAGCAAAUGAACUUGGCUUUCCUUCUUAUCUUUUCUUGGUUCAAAGUGCUGGUUUUCUUGGUUUCACGUUUUACAUGUCUAUUUGGCGUGACCAAGUCGGGAGAGAAUUUAACCAAUCUGAUGCUGAUGUAAAGAUACCAAUCUUUUCUCAUCCAGUACCCUCAAAAGUCUUGCCUUCAUUUGCAUUCAUCAAGGAAGGUUACGACACAUUCUGCAACCAUGCUGCCAGGUACAAAGAAACCAAAGGAAUUCUCAUCAACACAGUUGCAGAAUUCGAAAGUCACGCUGUCAAUAGUUUAGCAUCUGAUCCUGAACUACCUCCAGUGUACACAGUAGGACUUCUUCUUGACGCUGAGAACCAAAAACCUUCAACACAAGCAGCAGGAUCUCGUCCUGACCUUGAGAACCAAAAAGGUAAGGGCAAUUCUACGUCUGAAGAUGAAGAGAUCAUUAAAUGGCUAGACCAGCAGCCAACUGCCUCUGUUCUUUUUCUGUGCUUUGGAACCCUUGGUGUUUUUCAGCCACCACAGCUAGUCGAGAUGGCAAUUGCACUUGAACGAAGUGGUGUUAGGUUUGUGUGGUCAAUGCGUCUCCCUGCAAAUGCUGAAACUACAAAAUUAAAGGAGAUAUUGCCAGAAGGGUUCUUGGAGAGGACAAAAAACAGCGGAGUAGUAUGUGGAUGGGCACCUCAAACCGACAUUUUGGCUCACAAAGCCACCGGAGCAUUCGUAUCUCAUUGUGGGUGGAAUUCAAUUGUUGAGAGUAUAUGGUAUGGAGUUCCAAUUGUGACAUGGCCCCUUUAUGCAGAACAACAAAUAAAUGCGUUUCAAUUGGUGAGAGAUCUUGAGGUGGCAGUGGAGCUGACACUGGAUUACAGGAUGCAGCAGAGUGGUCAGCCCGAAAUUGUGAAGGCCGAGGUGAUGGAGAAAGCUAUAAGAUGCAUAAUGGACAGUGAAAAUCCCCAGAGGAAGAGAGCCAAAGACAUGGGAGAAAUUUGCAGGAAGGCGUUGAUGGAGGGUGGAUCUUCUUUCAUUUCUCUAGAACGAUUUGUAGAAACUAUUCUUGAUUCCUAGAAUUGAGAAGAAGAGGAAUCUUUUACAUUCUGUACUACUCUUUGUGCUAGCAGUUUUGUUUCAUAUCAGUAUUCUACUGAAUCAAAUAAUUAUUCAGGUGUGUGUUUUGUUUACCGGGAAACUUAAAUGGUCUCUUUUUAAUUGUUUUCGUGUUGCCAAGAAUUAAGGGGGUCAAUUCCCUCUGCCUUGUAAUAAUCUUUCGCUGCAUGCAGCAGCC
rnacentral:lncRNA from 1 species